rnacentral:lncRNA from 1 species
GAUGACGGAGAACGAGAAGAAAGCUUCGCCGGUUUCCGAUUAGAUCUGGACAUGUUGUGUUAUGGAGGUCUCUGCAGAUCCUAGUGGGAUUAGCAUGUCACCUUUGUAGGAGAGCAGUGUUGAACAAGAUGACAUAAAGGAUCCUUUCGGUGAGGUACAUAAUUCUUUAGCCACUUACAUGCAUACUUAAUCAGGGAUAGCUAAGUAAUUGAAACUGGAAAUUCCAGUAAUUGAGUUUUUCUGUAAAACUCCGCCAGCAUCAAUAGAGCAAGCUUGUAAGUUUUUUGUAUUUUGAUGUAGUCAGAUACUGUUCAUUACUCUUGUCACUCGUUCUGUAAUCAGAUUAGAAUACU